UAUGAUGUGAUAUUUAUCGAUCCAUAUGUUUAUAUGCAUUAUUUAAAUACGACUCCACACAGGGUACGGGUACCCCGGUUCUCAGCCCUAUGGAGGGCCAGGUGCCUCGCAAGGGGCUCCAUUUCAUGGAACCCAGUUUACCUCUAUGCCACAUGCUGGAGGGACUUUAGGAUCACAACAGUUCACCGGAGCGGGGCCGUCUUCGUAUCACCCUAUGCCGUCACCAGGAGGAUAUGAAGGAGCUUCUUCCUAUCCACCACCACCACCUCCAACACAGGGUACGUACAAUAAUUUGUACGGAAUUGCAUUCACUUUUUGAAUGUUGCUUAAAUUUUUUUUGUGAUCUGUAGGGUGGUCUGAAGACAACGCCGCGGCCUCCUUGGAGGAGUUUACACGGUUGUUUGCUACGCCUGCCCAGGACGAUGAUCACAGCUUGCAUACACCUCUGGCUCAGUUACGCCGUCCUGCCAGAGACGUGAGGCCACCGAAACGUCAUAGCUACCCUACAGAUCACGUACACGCACAACGUAAGAGAGGUCGUAAUGGUAGGGGUGGUUAGUUGUUUGCACUUGUUUCUCCGGCGGCAUUAUGGACUGUUUCGACUGUUCGGAUUAUGGUUGUUUAUGAUUGUGGUAGUUUACUUGUCAUUUGUUUCUAUAGAUAUUAUUGAUGUGAACUUGUUA